UACGAAGGGGGCUAGCGUUGCUCGGAAUCACUGGGCGUAAAGGGCGCGUAGGCGGCCAUUCAAGUCAGAGGUGAAAGCCCAAGGCUCAACCUUGGAACUGCCUUUGAUACUGUUUGGCUUGAGACCGGUAGAGGUAAGUGGAACUGCGAGUGUAGAGGUGAAAUUCGUAGAUAUUCGCAAGAACACCAGUGGCGAAGGCGGACUUGCUGACCGGUUCGCGGACGCUGAGGCGCGAAAGCGUGGGGAGCAAACAG
rnacentral:rRNA from 1 species